rnacentral:lncRNA from 1 species
CUGAAAACCAGAGCUCGUCCGUGGCUUCACUUGUUUUGGACUAAGGAGCUGAGGAGCGUGCAAGACUGUACUUGGAGAAUCUGUUUCUUGCUGCCAUUUCGUCACUGAACACUAUUUUUUUUCUCCUUCUUUUUUUGUAAGAAAAGGAGAACACAUAAAACCCCACCAGAACAAACUCCACUCGGCCCUGAAAGUAUUUACAAUCACGGCCCUGAAAGUACUGAAAGUAUUUACAAUCACGUUACAGUUCAUUCACUGCUGCAGAACCUCUCUCCAGCGAUCAAGGUCGAAGGGAGCCGACGUCGCCCUCUAUCGGCUCCCUGCUGCACUAGAAGGAUCGGGAAGAUGGAGGCUCCUGAAGAGCUGUAGAAGCGCAUCCUAGGCAGAAGCCCAGCAGACAGCAAAGGGCCUGGUUUGUUCAAGGAACUGGAGGGCAAGAAAAUCAGGAGCCAAUUCAUGCAGGGCACAGUUAGCCAAGGCAGGAGGCAAUCAUGCUCACCCUCUUCCACAGCCGGACUCACUCAGGAGGCCCUUCAUCUUCAUGUUCCCCACAUAGCAGAGGGGAGGGCAGAAGAUGAGAGGGAGGAGAGAGCAGAGCCAAGAGCCUCCUUUUCUCCCACUGUGCCCCUCCUAUGUGUGGCUCUGGACACCAGGAACCACCCAAGGACAGUGGGACUCCUCGAAAAGAUAAUUGCUCAUGAGGGAUCCAAGAGCAAGGCUUGUUACAUCCUAUAACCUUCACACAAAAUAUUGACUGAGAAUCCUCCAUGUGCCAAGUACUGUUCAAAAACACUGGGAACCCAGCAGGGAUGAGCCACAAGUUUCCUUGUCUUUACGAAGCUUUCAUUCUGAGGGAGUGGAGAGAGACAAGCAAUAAACAACCAAUCAAAACAAAGAUGACUCCUCUGAGUGUUGUGAUAUGCGGGUCAAGGAGGAUGGCUCCCAGGAUGUGACCUCAGAGCAGAAGCCUGGAGGCUUGCCAGCAGCGGGAAGAGCAGCGGCAGGGCACUGCAGGCAGAGUUCUGGAUGUCAGAGGUCCAACUUGAGUCUCACUGGGCUGAUGUCAAGAAGCCUGCAGAGCUGCUUUCUUCCUGGAGGCUCUAGGAGAGAUUCCGUUUUCCUGCCUUUGCCAGCUUCUAGCGGCCGCCUGUAUUCCUUGGCUCGCAUGACCCCUCUGAUACACAUCAGCAUCGUGAUGCUCCAGAGGGGAGGCAGUCCAUGAAAUGGUCUGAUUGCUGUAGAAUUCUUUUCAUGUAGCCAUCCACCCCAUUGUGAAAGAAGCAGCUGGAUAUCCAAGCAUCUUCCAAUACUCAGGCUUCAAGGUCCAAUAAUGUCCACUCCUCCCCAGGAAAAGCUGGCAUGCUGCUGACGUGGCCUCUCUACUCCUUUGUUUGCAGGCUUAGCUCACGUUCUCCUGUCCCAGCCCCUGGGCUUGCCAGUGAUGCCCAGAGGAUGAUGUGCCUGGUGGCUGAGCUCUUCCAGAACUAAAGACGUGCGGAUCCCUGAGUAUCCAUAACCAUCAAAGCAUGAAGUAAUGCCUUGUAAGUGGUGUCACCACACCUCCCAGAAGAAGGAUGGAUUCCUACCAGAAGCAGUCAAACAUAGUGCCGGAUCAUCUAAGUGAAACGGAUCCCCAUGGGUGCUGCUAUUGGGAUACCAAAGGUCUGAAGUUCAUCCAAUGCAAUAGCAGAAAUAAUUACAUCUGUGAGCAUGUGAGAAGAACCCUGAGUUAGUCCCAAGUGCAAAUCACCAUCUCCAACCAAUUCCUCCACCAAUUGAUGGAUGUUGGGGAGUGGGGUACAGCAACCCCUCCAAGUCCUUCCUCCCUCUAUAUAGCCCAGGAGACUCCCCUCCCACCAGCCUGGCCCCCAGAGUGCUGACUGGCAACAAUAUUCCAAGUUAAAAUAGUUUGCUAAAUAGUUAUACAAUUAGUUUACAAUUCAAAUAUAUCAGAGGAAAAGACAGGGAAAAAAAUUCUAAGAUACAUGAAUCCCAGACCAUUGCUCUCCAAAUAUUUUCAAGUGAUUCAUCUCCUUUAUUUAAAAAAUGAAUUAACCACCAGAUGGGACACUCAUACAUUCCUGAUGGUUGUAGGAAUCAGUAGACCCUGUAUGGAAAGCAAUAGGAUAAUAUUUCAUAGGAUCAAAUUAAAAUGUUCACAGCAUUGGUUCCAGGAAAUUGGCUUCUGGAGAAUUUAUACUCCAGAAACAAUUCAACAAAAGAACACAGCUCUGUGCAUGCAGAUGCUCAUUAGCCCAUCACCUAGAGUAAGGGAAAGUGGAGAUCCCAAUGAACAACAAUGAGAUGGGUUAGCGAACUGUGACCUAUCAGCCCAAUGGACAUUUAAGCAAUCACUGAAAAGUAGAAACAUGAAGAUAUUACACAACAUGGAAACUGUUUAUGGAGUAUAUUUAGGUAAAAAGGAAAAAAAGGCAGAACUGUAUAUCUGUGGUUGGAUAUACUUUUUUUUUUUUAAUAUUAAGCACCAACCAAAAGAAGAAAGGAGGAUAGAAAAAAUAAAAUGGAAGAUGUAGGGUGGGCAGAUUAGGGCUGCGUUUGUUGCUUGCUUUCAUGUUACCAUCAUAGCGUUUUUGCCACUUACAAAGGAGGAAAAAAAUCAAUUCUGUGCCAACCCAGACAACAGAGACCUGAGUGGGGGUUGGGAAGAGAGAUUUUUCAGCACAGAAUCAGACUCCUUCUCCAAAGAGCUGUGUGGCCUUCACCUGCAAGGCGACCUCUUCCACAAGCAGAGGCCAGGACAAAAAGAGGCACCUGUGAGCGACAAAGACGGUUUCCUUGGUUUCCCUCACGGCGCCAAGCGGAGUGGCCGCCUCCCACCACAGGGCCCCCUAAUGGGCGCUUUUGUCCUGCGGGGCAGAGGGACCUCAUUAGAAGGCGCUGGUGCUAAAGGGAAAUGCAUUUCCAGAACAGGAGGUUUCAUCAUUCCUAGCGUUAGCGACAGAAUGGUGACAGAAGCUCUGUGGACGUAUUUUCCAGCGUUCAGUUCACAUCAAGGAUGGGUAUGCACUGGCGGAAAAGGUCAGCUCGCAGAAUGAUCGCCCAUCCACACAGCGUUUGGAGGUCAGACGUUCCUGAUGACUGUGAAAAUGGGGAGGUGAGAAGAGGUCGUCAAAGGGAGCAGCCUUUUAAAGCCAGGGUCGUGAGAAGAAGAGGCAAGGCGUUUGGUAAAUCGAAUUGAUUGAUGCCCAGAAGCAUUUGCGGGUUGCAGAGCUCACACUUUAAAGGGGGCCUGGGCACCCGGCUUGAGGGUCACCCGAACACACUACCCACGCGGCGAGGCGAGCGUGGGGAACAAUGGGCCCACCCGGG